AUUCACUGCUUGCACCGUACUGUGUUUGUGGGCUUCCGUGAAGGAUAGGAUUCCUUUCCAUAAAGCUCAGGAUCGGAGAGUGAUCCAACCGCUGGGUUAACCUCAGGUACAUGUGGGGUCACUCUGGGCUCUCCAAAAGAGGAGCCUGGGCUGGGUCGUUAACUAUAAUAACGGUCAGUUCGUUCACUAUUCGCUGUCGAGUCUUGAGUCUCUUGACCUGCCUCUUUUUCUUUUUAUUUUUCCUUUUCCUUUUUUUCUUUUUUGCAAAUCCAUUUUUUCUUGUUCUACUCUAUCCUCGUUGCAGGGACCCUCCCUCUACUAAGUUCUGAUAUUCUUCCUUCACUUACUCAACUAAACCCUAGAAACCUCUCAAUCAGUCGAUGCAGAAGAAUGAAGAACUUAUAUCACUAGCGCCAACGGAAGGUAAAACUCAAGAGAUAAUACAUGCAGUGCAGAAAAAAAAAAAAUGCAGUGCAGUACAGGUGACAGAGGGUUAUGUUAUGAUCUUUGAAAGGGAGACACAUAUGGGCUACUUCUAUAUAAUUUAUCCUGGUUUUUCUUCCCAAAAGCACUCAUUCGGUUUCUGCAACAGCAUUGUUUCUAAAGUCUUAAGAUUACUUGGCUGUCACUUUGUGUUCACUUUCUGUUGAGGGCUGGUGGUGCCAUGUUUGUUCUUUGGCUUCUAUAUCUUCUCUCUCCUUCACAGAAUUCCAGGGAUGAACUUGAUCUUAUUGGUGGCCUCUGUAGAUGAAAACUUUGGCAGUGACUUUUGGUUACUUCAUCUAUGUUCUCCUAUGCUCCCUAUUCAAUGACCAUUUGAACAUUGACGAUGCAGCUCAUCAUCUGGUCAGCAUUCUUGGUAUACCUUUUCUAUGAAGGGUGAGAACUUUGUUCUCCUGGUAAAUUUAUUCGCAUUCAAGAAAAUGCCUUUUUCUGUUUAAAGUAUUACACCUGAUUUGUUAGGUUGUUGAAGAAGCAGAUUUCUAAUAUGCACCCUUCCUAGAAGGAGGGAUAUGAAUAUAAUGUUCUGGAACACAAGAGGGUGAUAGGUACUUUGGUAAUUCCAUAGCUGUUUUGGUUCUUUCUGCUUCAUCCUUAAACACUAUGAACAGAGGCAGAGAAAAUAUGUAAAGGGUAUGGGCACAAAAGUUGAAUGCACUAGAGAGAGGACAUUUGGAGAAUCAAUUGGCAUAUAUCCAUAAGGCUGCUCAACAUUGAAGAAAGAAGAAACAAUGUGUUCAAUACCAGAAGCAAUGGCUUGGCUUAUAUCAAUUGAUAUUUCUAUGAUUUGAGGCUUGUAUCCGGAAUUCUGGAUCGAAAUUUCCCCUGCUAGAAAGCUUUUCUUUUUUCAUAUCAUGAGUGUUAGAAGUGAAUAUUCUGUACAUGACGUAUUUUUAGCACUCAUGCGAUGAUAUUUUUAAUCUUUUGUUUUUUUAGGUUC